rnacentral:ncRNA from 2 species
ACGCGCUGGCGGGACUCGGUGUAAUUCCGAACCGGCGGUGAUCCACGGCCCGACCGUGGUAAGCCCGCGACCCGGUCGGCCCUGCCGCCCGGUGGACCUGGUGAGAAUCCGGGGCCGACGGUUGGGAGCGGGCCAACCCACUCCCAGACAGUCCGGAUGGGAGACAGCGCGC